rnacentral:rRNA from 1 species
UACGGAGGGUGCAAGCGUUACUCGGAAUUACUGGGCGUAAAGCGUGCGUAGGUGGUUUUUUAAGUCCGUUGUGAAAGCCCUGGGCUCAACCUGGGAAUGGCAGUGGAUACUGGAAAGCUAGAGUGCGGUAGAGGGUAGUGGAAUUCCCGGUGUAGCAGUGAAAUGCGUAGAGAUCGGGAGGAACACCAGUGGCGAAGGCGGCUACCUGGACCAGCACUGACACUGAGGCACGAAAGCGUGGGGAGCAAACAGG